CCUACGUGAGGCAGCAGUGAGGAAUAUUGGUCAAUGGACGAGAGUCUGAACCAGCCAAGUAGCGUGAAGGAUGACUGCUCUAUGGGUUGUAAACUUCUUUUAUAUGGGAAUAAAACGUUCCACGUGUGGGAUUAUGUAUGUACCAUAUGAAUAAGGUUCGGCUAACUCCGUGCCAGCAGCCGCGGUAAUACGGAGUAUCCGAGCGUUAUCCGGAUUUAUUGGUUUUAAAGGGAGCGUAGGUGGAUUGUUAAGUCAGUUGUGAAAGUUUGCGGCUCAACCGUAAAAGUGCAGUUGAAACUGGCAGUCUUGAGUACAGUAGAGGUGGGCGGAAUUCGUGGUGUAGCGGUGAAAUGCUUAGAUAUCACGAAGAACUCCGAUUGCGAAGGCAGCUCACUGGACUGAAACUGACACUGGGGCUCGAAAGUGUGGGUAUAAAACAGGAAUAGAUACCAUGUAGUC
rnacentral:rRNA from 1 species